rnacentral:rRNA from 2 species
UUUUGGGCUUAGUUGGUUGUAGAGCACAUGAAAACUUCACAGUUAAGCGUGCUCAGGUAGGAGUAGUACUAUGAUGGGUGGCCUCCUGGGAAGUCUUCAUCGGGGCAACCA